AGAGUUUGAUCAUGGCUCAGAAUCAACGCUGGCGGCGUGCCUAACACAUGCAAGUCGAGCGAGAGGAAGUAGCAAUACUUUAGUAAAGCGGCGCACGGGUGAGUAACACGUGGAUAACCUGCCUCGAAGUGGGGAAUAACCCCGGGAAACCGGAGCUAAUACCGCAUAAUCUGACGAGAUCUGUGGAUUUUGUCAGCAAAGGAGCAAUUCGCUUUGAGAGGGGUCCGCGGCUGAUUAGCUAGUUGGUGAGGUAAUGGCUCACCAAGGCCACGAUCAGUAGCCGGUCUGAGAGGACGGUCGGCCACACUGGAACUGAGACACGGUCCAGACUCCUACGGGAGGCAGCAGUGGGGAAUUUUUCGCAAUGGGGGCAACCCUGACGAAGCAACGCCGCGUGGGUGAUGAAGUAUUUCGGUACGUAAAACCCUUUCGACGGGGACGAAAGCCGCAAGGUUUGACGGUACCCGUAGAAGAAGCCCCGGCUAACUCCGUGCCAGCAGCCGCGGUAAUACGGGGGGGGCAAGCGUUGUUCGGAAUUACUGGGCGUAAAGGGCGCGUAGGCGGUUUGCUAAGUUGGAUGUGAAAACUCUGGGCUUAACCCAGAGCCUGCAUCCAAAACUGGCAAACUUGAGUACUGGAGGGGAAAGCGGAAUUCCUGGUGUAGCGGUGAAAUGCGUAGAUAUCAGGAGGAACACCGGUGGCGAAGGCGGCUUUCUGGACAGUAACUGACGCUGAGGCGCGAAAGCUAGGGGAGCAAACAGGAUUAGAUACCCUAGUAGUCC
rnacentral:rRNA from 1 species